UAGCGGAACUCCUACGGGAGGCAGCAGUGGGGAAUUUUGCACAAUGGGGGAAACCUUGAUGCAGCGACGCCGCGUGAUUUAGAAGGCCUUCGGGUUGUAAAAAUCUUUUGUAUAGGAAGAAAAUGACAGUACUAUACGAAUAAGGACCGGCUAAUUACGUGCCAGCAGCCGCGGUAAUACGUAAGGUCCGAGCGUUGUCCGGAAUCAUUGGGCGUAAAGGGUACGUAGGCGGGUAAGCAAGUUAGAAGUGAAAUCCUAUAGCUCAACUAUAGUAAGCUUUUAAAACUGCUCAUCUUGAGGUAUGGAAGGGAAAGUGGAAUUCCUAGUGUAGCGGUGAAAUGCGCAGAUAUUAGGAGGAAUACCGGUGGCGAAGGCGACUUUCUGGCCAUAACCUGACGCUGAGGUACGAAAGCGUGGGUAGCAAACAGGAUUAGAAACCCUAGUAGUCCACUUAUG
rnacentral:rRNA from 1 species